rnacentral:rRNA from 1 species
CCUAAGGUAGCGAAAUUCCUUGUCGGGUAAGUUCCGACCUGCACGAAUGGCGUAAUGAUGGCCAGGCUGUCUCCACCCGAGACUCAGUGAAAUUGAACUCGCUGUGAAGAUGCAGUGUACCCGCGGCAAGACGGAAAGACCCCGUGAACCUUUACUAUAGCUUGACACUGAACAUUGAGCCUUGAUGUGUAGGAUAGGUGGGAGGCUUUGAAGCGUGGACGCCAGUCUGCGUGGAGCCAACCUUGAAAUACCACCCUUUAAUGUUUGAUGUUCUAACGUUGGCCCCUUACCGGGGUUGCGGACAGUGUCUGGUGGGUAGUUUGACUGGGGCGGUCUCCUCCCAAAGCGUAACGGAGGAGCACGAAGGUUAGCUAAUCCUGGUCGGACAUCAGGAGGUUAGUGCAAUGGCAUAAGCUAGCUUGACUGCGAGCGUGACGGCGCGAGCAGGUGCGAAAGCAGGUCAUAGUGAUCCGGUGGUUCUGAAUGGAAGGGCCAUCGCUCAACGGAUAAAAGGUACUCCGGGGAUAACAGGCUGAUACCGCCCAAGAGUUCAUAUCGACGGCGGUGUUUGGCACCUCGAUGUCGGCUCAUCACAUCCUGGGGCUGAAGUAGGUCCCAAGGGUAUGGCUGUUCGCCAUUUAAAGUGGUACGCGAGCUGGGUUUAGAACGUCGUGAGACAGUUCGGUCCCUAUCUGCCGUGGGCGCUGGAGAACUGAGGGGGGCUGCUCCUAGUACGAGAGGACCGGAGUGGACGCAUCACUGGUGUUCGGGUUGUCAUGCCAAUGGCACUGCCCGGUAGCUAAAUGCGGAAGAGAUAAGUGCUGAAAGCAUCUAAGCACGAAACUUGCCCCGAGAUGAGUUCUCCCUGACUCCUUGAGAGUCCUGAAGGAACGUUGAAGACGACGACGUUGAUAGGCCGGGUGUGUAAGCGCAGCGAUGCGUUGAGCUAACCGGUACUAAUGAACCGUGAGGCUUAACCUU